rnacentral:rRNA from 1 species
AGUGAACGCUGGCGGUAGGCCUAACACAUGCAAGUCGAACGGCAGCACAGUAAGAGCUUGCUCUUACGGGUGGCGAGUGGCGGUCGGGUGAGGAAUACAUCGGAAUCUACUUUUUCGUGGGGGAUAACGUAGGGAAACUUACGCUAAUACCGCAUACGACCUACGGGUGAAAGCAGGGGAUCUUCGGACCUUGCGCGAUUGAAUGAGCCGAUGUCGGAUUAGCUAGUUGGCGGGGUAAAGGCCCACCAAGGCGACGAUCCGUAGCUGGUCUGAGAGGAUGAUCAGCCACACUGGAACUGAGACACGGUCCAGACUCCUACGGGAGGCAGCAGUGGGGAAUAUUGGACAAUGGGCGCAAGCCCGAUCCAGCCAUACCGCGUGGGUGAAGAAGGCCUUCGGGUUGUAAAGCCCUUUUGUUGGGAAAGAAAAGCAGCAGGUUAAUACCCCGCUGUUCUGACGGUACCCAAAGAAUAAGCACCGGCUAACUUCGUG